GCCAGCCACUGCAGAGAGCGUAUUUCUUGAACCUGGGCUGUUUCAUGGGGGAGUGCUGCGUUGCCAGAGAGCCCCUUCAUCAGCUGGGAAAACAGCAACGCUGACGCCUGGAUCGCAUCUCCUUUAAGUGUUAGAUUUAUCCACUCUGGUUCUGGUGAGGAAAGCAAGAGGCACAAAAACAAGACAGGCUGGCAUACAGGUUCUUGGAAAGGAAAACUCAAACAGAUGCGCUGCCAAAGAACUGAUGAGGAGAAGAAUAUGCUUUGCCUACGGUUCAGUGGUUCAGUUUCAAAUACAUAAAUUAAAUAUUGAGUGUAGCCGGGAAAGAAGAAUAGCGUCACUUUGUGAGACAGUCCACAGACCCACUAAAGCUCAGCUGCUCAAUAAAGAGUAAAUCAGGAAUAAAACGGAGAAGGAAGAAAGCUGCAAUCUUCUUGGAGAAAUAAGGCAAAUGCUAUUGAUUAAAAUGUAAUAAAAUCUGAUGAGCACCUUAGGCCAUAGUUAGAAUUAAAACCAGUUGUGCACAUUACUCAAAGAAUCAAAAUUACUUUCUUGCCCUUUCCGCCUCUGAAUAGCUCAUGCUACUCAAACCAGCUGGUGUGUCCCAAGUAAAGGGCAGACAAAACUGCAGUGGACUUUUCAAAACUA